CAUCCUGCUCCCAAAUAUCUGCACCUCCGUGCAACUGGCACCGCUCUGUGCUGCCCAGCCUGGAGAGGGGCUGGUGGUGAGGGAUUUAGAAAGACAACACACCCAGGACUGGACUUCUGGCUUGCUUUAAAUGAUUCUUGAGCACAAAUUGCUCUUUUCCCUCAGUUUAAUAAUCAGAAGACCCAGCCACAAGCCUCGCAAGCCUGGUCUGCAGAGAUAAGGCAGAGUCGCUCCUCCGGCUUGGAUGUGCCUGGAGAGGAUGGUGAGGUGUGGACGAGCUGCUCCCCGCAGGAGCAGGGCUGCACACCCCCAGGGCUGCUGGGGAGGGUACAGGAGACCCUCAGCCCGCCCCGGGGAGCGGCUCAGAGAAAGCAGAGAGUGCCAGAGCCCCCCGGCUUCAGCGCUGGCUGCGGCUCUUGGCGGGCUCGCUCUGCCUUUCAGCCUCGGCUGGAACGAUCUGCAGCUCAAACGCCCCCCCGAGAGCCGCUAACCUUUGGAUAAGGUUUGGCACCGUUAUCCUGCUUGGGUUAAUUGGGAGUUAGGGAGAGCCCGGGAGUGACGCGGCUGCUUCCAUCCGUCCGUCCGUCCGUCUGUCCGUCCGUCCGUCCGUCCGUCCGUCCGUCUGUCUGUCCAUCCGCCCCUCCAGCCUUCCCCGCUGCGCUGCGGGCAGCGAUGGAGAGAGAAGCGGAGAGAUGUCUCCCGAGCCCGACACAUCCAUGACAUUCUGGAUGCUCAACGAAGAGCCAAAAGCCCAUUGCCUCCACCCUUGGCGUGAGCACAGAAAGGCUUGGGUUGGAAGGGACCUUAAAGGUCAGCUGGGUGGCUCCCAGUGGAACCACUCCACUCCCCGACAUCGAGGGCUGCUGCCCGGGGGUGCGGCGUGAUGCCCGGUGGGACCAUUUUGGGUCUCCCAGGGGUUCAGGGGUGCCGGGGCGGGGGCACGGAUGCGCCAGGGCUAUUUGAGGAAAAAAAUCACGCACCAGACAGAGGUUUGGAUACAUUUUCGUUCCUUCUUCCCUGAUGCCCCCUGCAGCCUCCAGAAACAGAGCUCCUUCACGCCUUCUUUCAUAACGAACUCGUCUUAGGAUGAAUUAAAAAAAAUAAUAUUAAUAAAAAAGAAAAAGAAAUCGUUGGAUUAAUCCCUCACGGUGUCCGUCGUAACACUCAUUUCUCUGGGCUGUGAGGAGGCGAAACGGCGGCUGCGGCAGCCGAGGGCAGCGCUGACGGCCCCGAGAUUUUCAAUUUCGCCCCUUAAAUCCCGGCCCGUCAAGACGCUGCUGAACCCGGGGCGAAGCCGUGCCCCGCUCGGCUUUCGCGACCUAUCUGUGCACUCACAUGGAAUAAUUCCCACGCAAAGCCAAGGAUGCGCCACGCUCAGUCGCCCUCCUCCUCCGCUGCCAUCAAAAAAAAAUAAUUUUUUUGGGGGGCCUGCUGUAGAAGCAGCUCGCUCAUCCCCGCGCCGGGAGCAGCGGCUGAGAGACCCCUCAGGGGCACAGCCCUCACCGUGGAAAUUUAGCUUUAUUCCGGUUUUUUUGCGCCCUUCACCCUCUUUGCACCCUAUUUGCUUUUGGAUUGUGGCUGGGGAAAAAAUUAAAAGGUUUUUAAGGAGGGGAUUUAAGGGUUUUUUACCUAGGAAUUGGGGUUUUUUUCCCCAUCUCUGCUCAGUACUGCAUCCCACCUGCAACCGCAGCCUGGGCGCUCCCUCCCUACUCCCUCAACAACGAUACUAGGAAAUAAUUUAGUGGUGGCUUUUCCUCUGAACUGUAGUAAAACAAUGUUCUUUUUUUGUCUUCCAAAACAGCAAAGGAAACAGAAAUUCCUCCCUUCCCCCACCUUUCAAAGAACAUACAUACAUACAUAUAUAUAAAUAUAUUUUUUUAAACAACGAUUCAAAGGCUCUGCCGCCGCAGAGGGGACGUGCUUUCCCACACACCGCCCCCGAAUGCCAUCGCUCCCCCUGCCACUCUCCACUUGUCUGUGCCACAGGACCGGGAUUUCCCAUUGCCGUUUGCAGCUAUGUUGGCCGCUCACCUCGG